GAUUAUGGCUCAGGAUGAACGCUGGCGGCGUGCCUAACACAUGCAAGUCGAGCGAUUCUCUUCGGAGAAGAGCGGCGGACGGGUGAGUAACGCGUGGGUAACCUGCCUCAUACACAUGGAUAACAUACCGAAAGGUAUGCUAAUACAGGAUAAUAUAAGAGAUUCACAUGGAUUUCUUAUCAAAGCUCCGGCGGUAUGAGAUGGACCCGCGUCUGAUUAGCUAGUUGGUAAGGUAACGGCUUACCAAGGCGACGAUCAGUAGCCGACCUGAGAGGGUGAUCGGCCACAUUGGAACUGAGACACGGUCCAAACUCCUACGGGAGGCAGCAGUGGGGAAUAUUGCACAAUGGGCGAAAGCCUGAUGCAGCAACGCCGCGUGAGUGAUGAAGGCCUUCGGGUCGUAAAACUCUGUCCUCAAGGAAGAUAAUGACGGUACUUGAGGAGGAAGCCCCGGCUAACCACGUGCCAGCCGCAGC
rnacentral:rRNA from 1 species